rnacentral:rRNA from 1 species
GGCAGGCCUAACACAUGCAAGUCGAGCGGUAGCACAGAGAGCUUGCUCUCGGGUGACGAGCGGCGGACGGGUGAGUAAUGUCUGGGAAACUGCCUGAUGGAGGGGGAUAACUACUGGAAACGGUAGCUAAUACCGCAUAAUGUCGCAAGACCAAAGUGGGGGACCUUCGGGCCUCAUGCCAUCAGAUGUGCCCAGAUGGGAUUAGCUAGUAGGUGGGGUAACGGCUCACCUAGGCGACGAUCCCUAGCUGGUCUGAGAGGAUGACCAGCCACACUGGAACUGAGACACGGUCCAGACUCCUACGGGAGGCAGCAGUGGGGAAUAUUGCACAAUGGGCGCAAGCCUGAUGCAGCCAUGCCGCGUGUGUGAAGAAGGCCUUCGGGUUGUAAAGCACUUUCAGCGGGGAGGAAGGCGAUAAGGUUAAUAACCUUGUCGAUUGACGUUACCCGCAGAAGAAGCACCGGCUAACUCCGUGCCAGCAGCCGCGGUAAUACGGAGGGUGCAAGCGUUAAUCGGAAUUACUGGGCGUAAAGCGCACGCAGGCGGUCUGUCAAGUCGGAUGUGAAAUCCCCGGGCUCAACCUGGGAACUGCAUUCGAAACUGGCAGGCUAGAGUCUUGUAGAGGGGGGUAGAAUUCCAGGUGUAGCGGUGAAAAUGCGUAUAGAUCUGGAGGAAUACCCGGUGGCGAAGGCGGCCCCCUGGACAAAGACUGACGCUCAGGUGGGAAAGCGUGGGGAGCAAACAGGAUUAGAUACCCUGGUAGUCCACGCCGUAAACGAUGUCGAUUUGGAGGUUGUGCCCUUGAGGCGUGGCUUCCGGAGCUAACGCGUUAAAUCGACCGCCUGGGGAGUACGGCCGCAAGGUUAAAACUCAAAUGAAUUGACGGGGGCCCGCACAAGCGGUGGAGCAUGUGGUUUAAUUCGAUGCAACGCGAAGAACCUUACCUGGUCUUGACAUCCACAGAACUUUCCAGAGAUGGAUUGGUGCCUUCGGGAACUGUGAGACAGGUGCUGCAUGGCUGUCGUCAGCUCGUGUUGUGAAAUGUUGGGUUAAGUCCCGCAACGAGCGCAACCCUUAUCCUUUGUUGCCAGCGGUCCGGCCGGGAACUCAAAGGAGACUGCCAGUGAUAAACUGGAGGAAGGUGGGGAUGACGUCAAGUCAUCAUGGCCCUUACGACCAGGGCUACACACGUGCUACAAUGGCAUAUACAAAGAGAAGCGACCUCGCGAGAGCAAGCGGACCUCAUAAAGUAUGUCGUAGUCCGGAUUGGAGUCUGCAACUCGACUCCAUGAAGUCGGAAUCGCUAGUAAUCGUAGAUCAGAAUGCUACGGUGAAUACGUUCCCGGGCCUUGUACACACCGCCCGUCACACCAUGGGAGUGGGUUGCAAAAGAAGUAGGUAGCUUAACCUUCGGGAGGGCGCUUACCACUUUGUGAUUCAUGACUGGGGUGAA